CGGGGGGGCUGCUAUACAUGCAGUCGACGAACUCUGGUAUUGAUUGGUGCUUGCAUCAUGAUUUACAUUUGAGUGAGUGGCGAACUGGUGAGUAACACGUGGGAAACCUGCCCAGAAGCGGGGGAUAACACCUGGAAACAGAUGCUAAUACCGCAUAACAACUUGGACCGCAUGGUCCGAGUUUGAAAGAUGGCUUCGGCUAUCACUUUUGGAUGGUCCCGCGGCGUAUUAGCUAGAUGGUGGGGUAACGGCUCACCAUGGCAAUGAUACGUAGCCGACCUGAGAGGGUAAUCGGCCACAUUGGGACUGAGACACGGCCCAAACUCCUACGGGAGGCAGCAGUAGGGAAUCUUCCACAAUGGACGAAAGUCUGAUGGAGCAACGCCGCGUGAGUGAAGAAGGGUUUCGGCUCGUAAAACUCUGUUGUUAAAGAAGAACAUAUCUGAGAGUAACUGUUCAGGUAUUGACGGUAUUUAACCAGAAAGCCACGGCUAACUACGUGCCAGCAGCCGCGGUAAUACGUAGGUGGCAAGCGUUGUCCGGAUUUAUUGGGCGUAAAGCGAGCGCAGGCGGUUUUUUAAGUCUGAUGUGAAAGCCUUCGGCUCAACCGAAGAAGUGCAUCGGAAACUGGGAAACUUGAGUGCAGAAGAGGACAGUGGAACUCCAUGUGUAGCGGUGAAAUGCGUAGAUAUAUGGAAGAACACCAGUGGCGAAGGCGGCUGUCUGGUCUGUAACUGACGCUGAGGCUCGAAAGUAUGGGUAGCAAACAGGAUUAGAUACCCUGGUAGUCCAUACCGUAAACGAUGAAUGCUAAGUGUUGGAGGGUUUCCGCCCUUCAGUGCUGCAGCUAACGCAUUAAGCAUUCCGCCUGGGGAGUACGGCCGCAAGGCUGAAACUCAAAGGAAUUGACGGGGGCCCGCACAAGCGGUGGAGCAUGUGGUUUAAUUCGAAGCUACGCGAAGAACCUUACCAGGUCUUGACAUACUAUGCAAAUCUAAGAGAUUAGACGUUCCCUUCGGGGACAUGGAUACAGGUGGUGCAUGGUUGUCGUCAGCUCGUGUCGUGAGAUGUUGGGUUAAGUCCCGCAACGAGCGCAACCCUUAUUAUCAGUUGCCAGCAUUAAGUUGGGCACUCUGGUGAGACUGCCGGUGACAAACCGGAGGAAGGUGGGGAUGACGUCAAAUCAUCAUGCCCCUUAUGACCUGGGCUACACACGUGCUACAAUGGAUGGUACAACGAGUUGCGAACUCGCGAGAGUAAGCUAAUCUCUUAAAGCCAUUCUCAGUUCGGAUUGUAGGCUGCAACUCGCCUACAUGAAGUCGGAAUCGCUAGUAAUCGCGGAUCAGCAUGCCGCGGUGAAUACGUUCCCGGGCCUUGUACACACCGCCCGUCACACCAUGAGAGUUUGUAACACCCAAAGUCGGUGGGGUAACCUUUUAGGAACCAGCCGCCUAAGGUGACAAAU
rnacentral:rRNA from 1 species